UUAGUUGGGAAAAGGAAAUUGUCUGCGUCUUUCCUUUGCAAACAUUUUCUCUCCGAGAUUUCCCUCACAAUCACCGAAAGUUUUCUCUCCCCAAUUGCGAUCUCCCAGAUUUCCCUCACAAUCACGGGAAAUGGAAAACCAGGGAGCAGCAGCAGCUGAACGUGCUUGUGGGACAGGAGGAGGUCAAUGCCAACCAUUAGUAAAUAUAAAAAGGUGCAGAAAAAAUAAAGAAGAUAUGUCGAUGGAAGUGAAUUAUGAAUUAAUACCUGAAUGUCGUCCACCACGUCCACUUAGUCUUCUCGAUUCUUGUUAUUAAGACUUGUUUAAUUUCUGGAUAGUUGCAACAGUAAAAAAAUACUUCAGCUUAUGCCGACUGCAACUAGUUAGCUUAUAAGCAAAACUUCUUUGUAAGCUUGUCUGUAAAUCUUGCAGAUAUUUGAUAAUAACCCAAAAGCUUUAUUACCCGUGAAUCUGACUUUGAAUAGCUAUUCUUACAA